GCUAGCUACAGGCUUAACACAUGCAAGUCGAGGGGCAGCAUGGUCUUAGCUUGCUAAGGCCGAUGGCGACCGGCGCACGGGUGAGUAACACGUAUCCAACCUGCCGUCUACUCUUGGACAGCCUUCUGAAAGGAAGAUUAAUACAAGAUGGCAUCAUGAGUCCGCAUGUUCACAUGAUUAAAGGUAUUCCGGUAGACGAUGGGGAUGCGUUCCAUUAGAUAGUAGGCGGGGUAACAGCCCACCUAGUCUUCGAUGGAUAGGGGUUCUGAGAGGAAGGUCCCCCACAUUGGAACUGAGACACGGUCCAAACUCCUACGGGAGGCAGCAGUGAGGAAUAUUGGUCAAUGGGCGAGAGCCUGAACCAGCCAAGUAGCGUGAAGGAUGACUGCCCUAUGGGUUGUAAACUUCUUUUAUAAAGGAAUAAAGUCGGGUAUGGAUACCCGUUUGCAUGUACUUUAUGAAUAAGGAUCGGCUAACUCCGUGCCAGCAGCCGCGGUAAUACGGAGGAUCCGAGCGUUAUCCGGAUUUAUUGGGUUUAAAGGGAGCGUAGAUGGAUGUUUAAGUCAGUUGUGAAAGAGUGCGGCUUCAACCGUAAAAUUGCAGUUGAUACUGGAUAUCUUGAGUGCAGUUGAGGCAGGCGGAAUUCGUGGUGUAGCGGUGAAAUGCUUAGAUAUCACGAAGAACUCCGAUUGCGAAGGCAGCCUGCUAAGCUGCAACUGACAUUGAGGCUCGAAAGUGUGGGUAUCAAACAGGAUUAGAUACCCUGGUAGUCCACACGGUAAACGAUGAAUACUCGCUGUUUGCGAUAUACUGCAAGCGGCCAAGCGAAAGCGUUAAGUAUUCCACCUGGGGAGUACGCCGGCAACGGUGAAACUCAAAGGAAUUGACGGGGGCCCGCACAAGCGGAGGAACAUGUGGUUUAAUUCGAUGAUACGCGAGGAACCUUACCCGGGCUUAAAUUGCAGAUGAAUUACGGUGAAAGCCGUAAGCCGCAAGGCAUCUGUGAAGGUGCUGCAUGGUUGUCGUCAGCUCGUGCCGUGAGGUGUCGGCUUAAGUGCCAUAACGAGCGCAACCCUUGUUGUCAGUUACUAACAGGUUCCGCUGAGGACUCUGACAAGACUGCCAUCGUAAGAUGUGAGGAAGGUGGGGAUGACGUCAAAUCAGCACGGCCCUUACGUCCGGGGCUACACACGUGUUACAAUGGGGGGUACAGAGGGCCGCUACCACGCGAGUGGAUGCCAAUCCCCAAAACCUCUCUCAGUUCGGACUGGAGUCUGCAACCCGACUCCACGAAGCUGGAUUCGCUAGUAAUCGCGCAUCAGCCACGGCGCGGUGAAUACGUUCCCGGGCCUUGUACACACCGCCCGUCAAGCCAUGGGAGCCGGGGGUACCUGAAGUGCGUAACCGCGAGGAGCGCCCUAGGGUAAAACUGGUGACUGGGG
rnacentral:rRNA from 1 species